GUUACGGCGAUCUUGUGCCACAGAGUGUCCAAGGAAAGAUUGUGGGUGCUCUAUGCUCUUUCAGCGGCAUAUUUCUUAUUGCUUUGAUGGCGCCUUUGUUGCAGAAAGGAUAACAUUUUAUACUCAUGUUUAGCUUUUGAGAAUAUACCUACCAAUAAAAGUUAACAAACUUUUAUCUGAGUGGAAACGUUCGUAUAAUUACCAUAAAACCCCUAUAAGUAAUUUUUUAUCUCGUUUUUAUCAGUGCUACAAAGGUUCUCUAAAGGCCUUUUUUAUUGGUCCAGUGUUACGUAAUAUUUAGAGUGAGGUGUAUUAAUUUAAUUUGAUCACUAAUCCAAGGACUGAAUUAAUCAAUAUACUUCACCAGGUACUGUAUCCAGUAUUAUCAUGUGAGCAAAAUAAAGCAAUACGGUUGGCUAAUUUACUCAUCAAUUAUUAAACGGGGGAGAG